rnacentral:rRNA from 1 species
UACGUAGGGUGCAAGCGUUGUCCGGAAUUAUUGGGCGUAAAGAGCUCGUAGGCGGUCUGUUGCGUCGGCUGUGAAAACCCGGGGCUCACCCACCGGGCCUGCAGCCGAUACGGGCAGGCUAGAGUUCGGUAGGGGAGACUGGAAUUCCUGGUGUAGCGGUGAAAUGCGCAGAUAUCAGGAGGAACACCGGUGGCGAAGGCGGGUCUCUGGGCCGAUACUGACGCUGAGGAGCGAAAGCGUGGGGAGCGAACAGG